UUGUAAUUAAUUAUCGAACAGAUCGUGGAACAGAAAGGGUUCUUUGUUAAAUAAUUAAUACAUACUUGAAACUUCGUG